rnacentral:rRNA from 1 species
AUACAGAGGGUGCGAGCGUUAAUCGGAAUUACUGGGCGUAAAGCGCGCGUAGGCGGCUUAUUAAGUCAGAUGUGAAAUCCCCGGGCUCAACCUGGGAACUGCAUCUGAUGCUGGUAAGCUAGAGUUUUGGAGAGGGAAGUAGAAUUUCAGGUGUAGCGGUGAAAUGCAUAGAGAUCUGAAGGAAUACCAGUGGCGAAGGCGACUUCCUGGCCAAAAACUGACGCUGAGGUGCGAAAGCGUGGGUAGCAAACGGGAUUAGAAACCCUAGUAGUCC